CCCAACUAUCCCUAUUAAUCAUUACAUCGAUCCUAGAAACCAACAAAAUAGAAUCGGAUGUCCUAUUUCAUUAUUCCAUGCUAAUGUAUUCAAGCGUGAGCCUGCUUUAAACACUCUAAUUUUUUCAAGGUAACAGUCCUAAUUCCCCGUAACACCAAAUUAAUGGCAUUACGGUUCUUUAGAAGGUGAGAAAUCAAUGAUAACAGUGCAUACCAACGGCAUGACCGAAAUAUUGAUCCCGAAAUUCAACUACGAGCUUUUUAACUGCAACAACUUUAAUAUACGCUAUUGGAGCUGGAAUUACCGCGGCUGCUGGCACCAGACUUGCCCUCCAA
rnacentral:misc_RNA from 1 species